ACCUAAAGGAGUGACGUGGAGACGGAGCAGUGACAGCGCCGCGGACUGACGGAAUAGUCCGUUGAAGGGUGUAGAUGUUGAUCAUCCCAGGCAAAUCCAGGAUGAGAGUCGAUCCUGAUAGUAUACCAAGUUCUUCGGAAUGCGGUAAUAGUGCGUGUAAUCAUACUCCCAAGAAAAUCCGCUAAACUUAAUCCUUGAGGUACCCGUACCGCAAACGGACACACGUAGUCGGGUUGAAUAUACUAAGGCGCUUGAGUGAUUCACGGUUAAGGAACUAGGCAAAUUAACCCUGUAACUUCGGGAUAAAGGGUCCCAACUUCCGUUGGGCGCAGAGAAUAGGUCCAGGCAACUGUUUAACAAAAACACAGGGCUGUGCCAAAUUGAAAGAUUACGUAUACAGCCUGACACCUGCCCGGUGCUGGAAGGUUAAGAGGAGAUGUUAUCGCAAGAGAAGCAUUGAAUUGAAGCCCCAGUAAACGGCGGCCGUAACUAUAACGGUCCUAAGGUAGCGAAAUUCCUUGUCGGGUAAGUUCCGACCUGCACGAAUGGUGUAAUGAUCUGGACACUGUCUCAAUCGUGAGCUCAGUGAAAUUGUAGUAUCGGUGAAGAUGCCGAUUACCCGCGAUGGGACGAAAAGACCCCGUGAACCUUUACUAUAGCUUAACAUUGAAUUUGGGUAAUUGAUGUGUAGGAUAGGCCGGAGACAUUGAAGCAGGUACGCCAGUAUUUGUGGAGUCGCUGUUGAAAUACGGCCCUUUGAUUAUUUGAGUUCUAACUCGUUGUUACGAGGACACUGUUUGGUGGGUAGUUUGACUGGGGUGGUCGCCUCCAAAAGCGUAACGGAGGCUUCUAAAGG
rnacentral:rRNA from 1 species